CAGCGCCGCGGUAAUACGAAGGUCCCGAGCGUUGUUCGGAAUCACUGGGCGUAAAGGGAGCGUAGGCGGCGUGGUAAGUCAGAUGUGAAAUCCCGGGGCUCAACCCCGGAACUGCAUCCGAUACUGCCAUGCUAGAGGAUUGGAGAGGUAGCUGGAAUUCUUAGUGUAGCAGUGAAAUGCGUGGAGAUCAAGAGGAACACUCGUGGCGAAAGCGAGCUACUGGACAAUAACUGACGCUGAGGCUCGAAGGCCAGGGUAGCGAAAGGGAUUAGAUACCCCCGUAGUCCCUGUCUCUUAUACA
rnacentral:rRNA from 1 species